UACGUAGGGACCAAGCGUUGUUCGGAUUUACUGGGCGUAAAGGGCGCGUAGGCGGCAUGACAAGUCACUUGUGAAAUCUCUGGGCUUAACUCAGAACGGCCAAGUGAUACUGUCGCGCUAGAGUGCAGAAAGGGCAAUCGGAAUUCUUGGUGUAGCGGUGAAAUGCGUAGAUAUCGGGAGGAACAUCAGUGGCGAAGGCGGCUGCCUGGCCCAAUACUGACACUCAGGUGCGACAGCGUGGGGAGCAAACAGG
rnacentral:rRNA from 1 species